rnacentral:lncRNA from 1 species
UAUGAAUGAUGAAGGGUAGCUAUGAAUGAUGAAGGGUAGUAUGUAUCUAUGAAUGAUGAAGGGUAGUAUGUAUCUAUGAAUGAUGAAGGGUAGUAUGUAGCUAUGAAUGAUGAAGGGUAGCUAUGAAUGAUGAAGGGUAGUAUGUAUCUAUGAAUGAUGAAGGGUAGCUAUGAAUGAUGAAGGGUAGUAUGUAUCUAUGAAUGAUGAAGGGUAGUAUGUAGCUAUGAAUGAUGAAGGGUAGUAUGUAACUAUGAAUGUUGAAGGGUAGUAUGUAACUAUGAAUGAUGAAGGGUAGUAUGUAUCUAUGAAUGAUGAAGGGUAGUAUGUAUCUAUGAAUGAUGAAGGGUAGUAUGUAGCUAUGAAUGAUGAAGGGUAGUAUGUAACUAUGAAUGAUGAAGGGUAGCUAUGAAUGAUGAAGGGUAGUAUGUAUCUAUGAAUGAUGAAGGGUAGUAUGUAUCUAUGAAUAAUGAAGGGUAGUAUGUAGCUAUGAAUGAUGAAGGGUAGCUAUGAAUGAUGAAGGGUAGUAUGUAUCUAUGAAUGAUGAAGGGUAGCUAUGAAUGAUGAAGGGUAGUAUGUAUCUAUGAAUGAUGAAGGGUAGUAUGUAUCUAUGAAUGAUGAAGGGUAGUAUGUAACUAUGAAUGAUGAAGGGUAGUAUGUAACUAUGAAUGAUGAAGGGUAGUAUGUAUCUAUGAAUGAUGAAGGGUAGUAUGUAUCUAUGAAUGAUGAAGGGUAGUAUGUAACUAUGAAUGAUGAAGGGUAGUAUGUAACUAUGAAUGAUGAAGGGUAGUAUGUAGCUAUGAAUGAUGAAGGGUAGUAUGUAACUAUGAAUGAUGAAGGGUAGUAUGUAACUAUGAAUGAUGAAGGGUAGUAUGUAUCUAUGAAUGAUGAAGGGUAGUAUGUAACUAUGAAUGAUGAAGGGUAGUAUGUAGCUAUGAAUGAUGAAGGGUAGUAUGUAACUAUGAAUGAUGAAGGGUAGCUAUGAAUGAUGAAGGGUAGUAUGUAGCUAUGAAUGAUGAAGGGUAGUAUGUAUCUAUGAAUGAUGAAGGGUAGUAUGUAACUAUGAAUGAUGAAGGGUAGUAUGUAACUAUGAAUGAUGAAGGGUAGCUAUGAAUGAUGAAGGGUAGUAUGUAUCUAUGAAUGAUGAAGGGUAGUAUGUAUCUAUGAAUGAUGAAGGGUAGUAUGUAACUAUGAAUGAUGAAGGGUAGCUAUGAAUGAUGAAGGGUAGUAUGUAGCUAUGAAUGAUGAAGGGUAGUAUGUAUCUAUGAAUGAUGAAGGGUAGUAUGUAACUAUGAAUGAUGAAGGGUAGUAUGUAACUAUGAAUGAUGAAGGGUAGCUAUGAAUGAUGAAGGGUAGUAUGUAUCUAUGAAUGAUGAAGGGUAGUAUGUAUCUAUGAAUGAUGAAGGGUAGUAUGUAACUAUGAAUGAUGAAGGGUAGUAUGUAGCUAUGAAUGAUGAAGGGUAGUAUGUAUCUAUGAAUGAUGAAGGGUAGUAUGUAACUAUGAAUGAUGAAGGGUAGUAUGUAACUAUGAAUGAUGAAGGGUAGUAUGUAUCUAUGAAUGAUGAAGGGUACUAUGUAUCUAUGAAUGAUGAAGGGUAGUAUGUAGCUAUGAAUGAUGAAGGGUAGUAUGUAUCUAUGAAUGAUGAAGGGUAGCUAUGAAUGAUGAAGGGUAGUAUGUAGCUAUGAAUGAUGAAGGGUAGUAUGUAUCUAUGAAUGAUGAAGGGUAGUAUGUAACUAUGAAUGAUGAAGGGUAGCUAUGAAUGAUGAAGGGUAGUAUGUAUCUAUGAAUGAUGAAGGGUAGUAUGUAUCUAUGAAUGAUGAAGGGUAGUAUGUAACUAUGAAUGAUGAAGGGUAGUAUGUAUCUAUGAAUGAUGAAGGGUAGUAUGUAUCUAUGAAUGAUGAAGGGUAGUAUGUAACUAUGAAUGAUGAAGGGUAGUAUGUAACUAUGAAUGAUGAAGGGUAGUAUGUAGCUAUGAAUGAUGAAGGGUAGUAUGUAUCUAUGAAUGAUGAAGGGUAGUAUGUAACUAUGAAUGAUGAAGGGUAGUAUGUAACUAUGAAUGAUGAAGGGUAGUAUGUAGCUAUGAAUGAUGAAGGGUAGUAUGUAACUAUGAAUGAUGAAGGGUAGCUAUGAAUGAUGAAGGGCAGUAUGUAGCUAUGAAUGAUGAAGGGUAGUAUGUAUCUAUGAAUGAUGAAGGGUAGUAUGUAACUAUGAAUGAUGAAGGGUAGUAUGUAACUAUGAAUGAUGAAGGGUAGCUAUGAAUGAUGAAGGGUAGUAUGUAUCUAUGAAUGAUGAAGGGUAGUAUGUAUCUAUGAAUGAUGAAGGGUAGUAUGUAACUAUGAAUGAUGAAGGGUAGUAUGUAGCUAUGAAUGAUGAAGGGUAGUAUGUAUCUAUGAAUGAUGAAGGGUAGUAUGUAACUAUGAAUGAUGAAGGGUAGUAUGUAACUAUGAAUGAUGAAGGGUAGUAUGUAUCUAUGAAUGAUGAAGGGUAGUAUGUAUCUAUGAAUGAUAAAGGGUAGUAUGUAACUAUGAAUGAUGAAGGGUAGUAUGUAUCUAUGAAUGAUGAAGGGUAGCUAUGAAUGAUGAAGGGUAAUAUGUAGCUAUGAAUGAUGAAGGGUAGUAUGUAUCUAUGAAUGAUGAAGGGUAGUAUGUAACUAUGAAUGAUGAAGGGUAGUAUGUAACUAUGAAUGAUGAUGGGUAGUAUGUAUUUAUGAAUGAUGAAGGGUAGUAUGUAUCUAUGAAUGAUGAAGGGUAGUAUGUAACUAUGAAUGAUGAAGGGUAGCUAUGAAUGAUGAAGGGUAGUAUGUAGCUAUGAAUGAUGAAGGGUAGUAUGUAUCUAUGAAUGAUGAAGGGUAGUAUGUAACUAUGAAUGAUGAAGGGUAGUAUGUAUCUAUGAAUGAUGAAGGGUAGUAUGUAUCUAUGAAUGAUGAAGGGUAGUAUGUAUCUAUGAAUGAUGAAGGGUAGCUAUGAAUGAUGAAGGGUAGUAUGUAACUAUGAAUGAUGAAGGGUAGUAUGUAUCUAUGAAUGAUGAAGGGUAGCUAUGAAUGAUGAAGAGUAGUAUGUAGCUAUGAAUGAUGAAGGGUAGCUAUGAAUGAUGAAGGGUAGUAUGUAACUAUGAAUGAUGAAGGGUAGCUAUGAAUGAUGAAGGGUAGUAUGUAUCUAUGAAUGAUGAAGGGUAGUAUGUAUCUAUGAAUGAUGAAGGGUAGCUAUGAAUGAUGAAGAGUAGUAAGUAGCUACGCACGAAUGUAUGCAUUCACUACUUUAGGUUUCUCUGGAUAAAAGCGUUUGUUAAAUGCCAGAAAUCGCAAUCUAAAACCUGUAUGCAGGCGCGUACGGGCCAUUCUCCACCUUUAUAUGGCGAUAAGGACACAAAAAGCCCUGACUGUUCAGCUGUCACUGCUGGAGAAAGAGAGAAAGAGAUUGGUUGUUCUCUCUAAAGAGAAGGACAUAAAGGUUCAUGCACGGUGAUAUUUACCAAAACAUUAGCCGAUAGUGGAAUGACUGAUUACUUGGUACUUUGAGCUCAAAACUUCUCAGAAAUCAAUAUGAACUGGUUAUAAAACAGGGCAGAAAGGCUUUUUCUAGGAAAAUUAACUUGUUGUUUCUGUUCUUUUUCCUUGGAAAUAGUAAAAAUAGUCCUAUAAAAUAGGGACAUGAUAUGACCCAAUUUAUAAGCCAUAUCAUAUUGAGAAGCUCCAUAGAGUUUGCUAGACAUCUUGUUAGUUGAUAUCAUAUGGAGAAGCUCCAUAGAGUCUGCUAGACAUCCUGUUAGGUCAUAUCAUAUGGAGGAGCUCCAUAGAGUCUGCUAGUCAUCCUGUUAGUUCAUAUCAUAAGGAGAAGCUCCAUAGAGAGUGUAGAUUCACACGUAGAUAUCACACACACACACACACACACACACACACACACACACACACACACACACACACACACACACACACACACACACACACACACACACACACACACACACACACACUCUAAACACACUA